rnacentral:lncRNA from 1 species
AUCCAUAUAUAUGUGGAGAGAGAGAGAGAGAGAGAGGAAAAACUGUCCAAAUUUCCAUUGCAGGAUCAGCUAUUGAUCAUUUAAUCUAUUUUUGAGAGAGAUGAGUGGUUUGCCAAGGUCAGAAAUAUCCUUUAGAAGACAAGGUUCUUCAGGGUUGGUAUGGGAUGACAAGUUAAAUUUGGAGGUGAAGAAGAAACACGAUCGAGAACCCGCGGUCGAACGGAGCCCAAGGGAAUAUGUAUAUCGAUCCAGGACAGUUACACCAGCAGCCGAACCGCCAUCUCCCAAGGUCUUCGGUUGCUGUGGCAUAUUUGGGAAGCCUCCCCAUCGUGAGUUAUAGUUGCUCUGCAUGCUGUUUAUGUUGUGUAUGAAAUAUCACAUUUUAGUUGAUGAAAAAGCUUUUAAUAAUAGUUACGUGUUGAAUAUGAAAAGUUCAAUUGCAUUUAGUUUCACACACUUGCACACAAUUCUCCUAAUUUCCAGGCUCGACUCUUUCUUUUUUUGGUUGAUGGAUUUUGAUGUGUAUAGCAAGAAGAACAUAUGUAAAGAAUCGAGCACGUAUUCAAGCCGUUAACUACGUAACAUAUGUACUGUUUGUUUUGGGAGGGUUUGCGCACAUUUUACCCUCCCGACGACUUUUUGUUGCUUCUUCAUAUCUCUAACAUUUACCUUUUAAGAGAUUUAAGUUGAAUUUUGGUAAUUAUUGAAUAAGCUGUCGUGAAAGGUAAGAUAGAGUCAGAUUCUCUCAAAGUGGACUAUAUGCGUGAGUUAAUGACUCGAACACAAAUUCGAAUAGUUACAAAAUAAAUAUCUACAACAUACAUGGUGCUACUGAAAUUUGCCUGAUAAAUAUUUCAUAUAUUGCUACCAAGACAGGAAAAUUGCAUUUUUUUGUCACAACCUAUUGACUGAGAAGCAGGUUGGUCCCCCGAGCUUAAGAUAAUGGGCAAACUCGUUACAUCCUUUUACCUAUCAAAACAUAUAGGUGGGCGCUGCAACUCUCAGUGUACAAAUUGACGUUCGAUUCACUAUUGAAAAGGCAAAAUAGAUAAAACAUUAAAUAAAUAAAAGAAGAAUUAAAAAACAAAAAGUGAAACAAGACAGGUAAUCCGUAUAUUCAUAGGCAAGUCUCUUUCAUCGAACCUUUCUUUGAGACUAUCCAUAUCGUUACGCCUUCUGUGCGAGUCGGAACUUAUCUGAUAAGGCAAUCAGUUCUUCUAUCAUUAGGUCACUAACUUCCUUGAUCUUUCAACAUUGGACAGACGUCGACCCCCAUGCAUGAUCUUAAGACUUUGUGCAGACCUAUUUUUAUGGUAAACAGUCGACUCUGCAACCCCCCACCCUCAACAAAAUACAGCAUUUCUUUCAAUUUUCCACCUAAAACGCCAUCCUUCCAUGGUAUAGGCUAAUCAUGGUCAUGUUGAAGAUUAACUUACUAAUACUUCAACUAGUGAUUCCUAAAAACAACAAAACAAUUAGUGGUCGUCCAUUAUUUCCCGCAACUUUUGACUAAAAUUGUAGAAUUCAUGAAAUUAAUUAUUAGAUUAGAAGCAAUCCACUUAAGAUAUAUGGAUAAGAGAUUGAAUAGUUUUCAAUAAAAGAAAUGGUCGUUUUCAAUGUGACCGAUCAUUCAACAAUUAAACAACAUUUAGCCAUCUAACCUCAUCUUGAUGUUUGACUAAAUUUAUAACUUAUUUUUAAGUAAAUUUUUGUUUGAAUACAUUAUUUUUUUCUCAAGUAAAAAGAGUUAAAGUAAUUUGUUUUCCAACUUAGAUCAACAAAAAUAAUACAUUUCUAACACUUAUUUAAUCAUAAGUAAGUUUUUUUAAAGCUUGGCCAAACAUCUUCUUACAAAUAUUAUAUUAAGAUGAUUAAAUAAAAUGCAUUUCUUGUUAUGAAUUGUCUGUUCAAAGGACGAAAGGAUAGACUAUGAACUUUUUUCUUCCAUUCAACGUUCAAAAAUUCUAACUAAUUAUUACACAUCAUCGAGUAGUAUUUUUGCAUGAUCAAUGGUUAUCUUCUAUAAUUGAAGAAAAUAGGUGGGAGAAUUGUAUUGAUCCUCAUGUAGGUUCAGCACAAUCUGAUUGAGAUUAAAAUUAAACGGAGUCAACUCAAUAUUUUUAAGUUAUGCAAUUGCAUAAAACCCCUUAAAUAGAUUGGCUUCCAAAUUUUAAAACUAUCAUUAUUUGUGAUUAGUAAUACUAAAAAUAUAAAUAGUCCAAUAAACUCAACAUAAUCUUUUCAUUAAAUACAAACUAACAAAAAUGUUUAAAUUAAGUGUUAAUGGAAAAUUUCGUUCAAAUUAAAAUAAAAUAAAAAAAUAGCUCAUUCGUAUAUAAUAUUAUAAAGAAAAUGGAAAAAAGGGCAAAUUUUGACCAAUUCCAAUUCUCUUUUCCCCUUAUUCACUGUACAAAUCACUGUUCAUUUCCCUUAUUUUCCAGGUCUUAUAUAUUCUUCUCUCUCUUCCAUAUAUCUUAGAUUAUUUUUAGCAUGAAUACGGGGAGUAAUGUCUGUAGAUGCGGUGACCCUAUGCAGAUGAAGACAUCAUGGACGAACUUAAUUCUAGGAAGAAGAUUUCUCACUUGUCCACGACGUCAGGAUGUCGAUGGAUGUAACUUUUUAGACUAGCACGACCCUCCAAUGUGUGAUAGAUCGAGGAAGAUAAUCUCUAGAUUUCUAUGUGUCAGAAGAGAUGAAAGUUGAACUAAACACCUUACAUACAAGGACCCGUAGUUUAUGGAAGACUUGGAUAUUAGGAUUUACAUGUGGAGUUUUUGUGAAAUGUGUCUGUGCUUAGAUCUGUGUUAGGUUUCAGCUCAUAUGUUGUGUUUGCGUUUUGAAAUGUAGGUUUAUGAGUUCGAAAUCGAGUGUUGUCUAUGGUUUUGUAACUUAUUUUCCAUUAAAUAAGAUAUUAAGAUAUGUCAUCAUUCAACAGUGUUGCCCUAAUUAUCAUUUCUCACAGUUUCCCCCUCUCCCUGUGAGCAAAUGCUUCAAAAGGAAGGGAAAAAUAUGUUUGAAAACCAAUCAUAGAUAGUGCAUUGUAGGUCUCAAACAUUUUCAAUUAGUCGUACACAAACCUUUUACUAUGUCGCAACGUAGGUUCCAAAUAUUUGUAUUUGAAUGCAUGAAAAGUCCCAAACCUUUUAAAUGAGUUGCAGAGUAGAUUUUAGACCUUUUAAGGAGUUGAAGCUUAUGUCUCAAUUUGUACAAAGGCCACUUUUUCCCUUGCCCUGUGAUUGAGUUGGUUGUGUAUCCUAUUGUGUAUCUGCUUUAGAACAUGUUAUCUUGUUAUGGCAUGUCCCACCACGUGUUUUACAUGUCAUCAUCAUUCUAGUCCUUGUCAUUUUGGUGCCUGUAGGUGGCUGUACUAGCGAUUUUUUCUCAACUUCUUUGGUCUCCCUACUUGUUUCUUCUUCAUAGGUGGAUUCAAAGAAUGUUUUCCCAGCUCUAAUCACAACUCAAGGACCUGACAUUGGUUGGAUGAUUGGGCUAUAGGACCUCAAGUAAGCUUCUUUGAUGUAGCAUUCAUCUACAUACUCAUAUAUACUGAUAUGUCUCAAUGGCAUACCAGACAAUACAUGCACACAAGGUAUUCCAGUAAGUUGCUAUUUUCUACAUGCACAUUUACGCUUCAUCAAGUCCAAACUCCAUCUCUUUUCCAUCCGUAUUUCUCACAUCAAAAUUUCACUUCCAGCAUAGUUAGCCUUCAAAAACCUUGCAUCUACCUUUGUUUUCUCUAUAACUCUCAUAACUUCAGGACCUAAAGCAUGAUUACAUCUUCAUGUAGCUUCCGUUUUAGCAUUCAUCCUUUCCAUUUGUUGACGUCUUAGCUUCUUAAGCAUUGAGAUAAUAGACUUUUCUCUUGCAAUUAAUAUGAAAGAGUUGAAUGUCUCACACAAGUUAUUAAGUAGGAUGUCGCACUUUAAAUAAUCUUGGAAAUGUGAUCUACUCUACGGUGAUGCUGGUUUCUCAGUGAACCACUUAAACGCUGUUUCGUUCAUAUCUUUUAUCUCAUUCAUUGCACUUCUCCACUCUAGCACUAGUUUACCCUUGUUGCAGCCCAAAAAUAUGCUCUUUAGAGUCAGUCCCUUAUGCACUAAGGUGAAAUUGCUGGAUAAAUAUCUUGCACAAUACCUAUACUCAGCACCCUUACAUAACAAAUCUAUGGAGUCCAUCAAGCCCUUCAGUUUAUCAGAAAUAAGGUCCAAGUCCUAGCAUUAUACAUCCCAAUAUCAGCUGUCAAAAGUUCUAAUAACCAUUCCCAAUUUCUUUUGUUCUCCACAUCUACCACAUCCCCAGCUAUAGGAAACAUGUAGUUAUCUACAUCAAUGCCAAUUGCAGCCAACAACUACCCACAUUGUGCACUCUUUAGGAAAUAUCCAUCCAAACCAAUUGCAUUCCUACACCCAACUCUAAGAACUUCUUUGCAAGCCCCUAAACAUAUGUAUAGUCUUUUGAAUGUAUGACCCUGCCCAUUGUACUAUCAGGAUUAGUUCUUUUCAACUUCUUACCAUAGUCCCAUAGAAUCUUGUACUAUUUAGCUACAUUUUCAUUAACAACGUCUGCACAUUUAACUCUUAUUCUAUAAAAUUGAUGCUUAGAGAUCUCAUAUAUGCACUCCUCAUUCAUUUUUUCUAUAAAACUAUUCAUAGACAUUUUUGGAUUUGAUUUGACUUCCUUAUAUACUUGUUUGCCAAGUAACCAAUAUGCACUCUUCUAUUUUUUCAAACCAUUGUGCAUGUAUGUUCAACUCUAAAUGUGUUAAUCCUGAAAUUUUUGUCUGGUUGCUAGUAAGCAUACAACUUUUAUGGACAAUUCUCUUGACAUAUGACUCUUACUCUUACUCUUGUUCCUUCAUUCUUUAAAUAUCUAACUUGCCUUGCAUUCUUAACCGAAUACUGCAAACUACAUCUUUCUACAUGUUUAUGUUGUCUAACGUCAUGCCUACAGGAUUAUAUAAAAGAAAAUUACGAUAUUGAACUUUUUAUUUUAAAUGUCCUAGUAGCAUUGGGUUAGACUUUAAUAAUUUAAGGAAUAUAUUUAUUCACCUGUGAUUGAUUUGCAUGUCCUCUCUUACUUAUGUAAGAUUUUGAGACUUGCUUACAGGAGAUUAGUGGCACUUUCCGCACACGGGUUGUUUAUAUAAUUUACUCUAUAUAGAUUAUAGAUUAAAAUUGAGCUAUGAGGGAAAAGUUCAUAGUUUUUCUAUUAUGCUUGUAUAAGUAAGCAAAUAUCUGUUGAUGUGAUUUGAGCUUUACUUGAUGUUAUAUUUAAAAAUCCAUGAAAAAGAGUUAUCUUAAUAAAAAAUAAAAAUUUUCCCAACACAUGGUUUGCAUAAUUUUGCAUAGUUUGUCCAUGUGUAUAUUUUUUCACUCGUUCCUCUUUGCAUUAUUCACAAUUAUAUUGCUUAAUUUUUCUUUAUAAUUCGUGAUAAAAAUGAGGAGGGAAGUAUUUAUUUCGGGGGAGUUGAGUAAUAUAUGAGUUAGGAGGAGAAGUCGAUACAUUGUUGAGCUUGCUUUUAAUAUUUGACUUAAGGAGAGUCAUGGAUAUUUUUUAUGAUUGAUGAUUAUUUUUUUAUAUUUGUCUUAGUGGGAGUUGUAGAUAUUUUUUAUGAUUGAUGAUUAUACAACCAACAACCCUGGGCAGAACCCAGCAUUAGGGGGCCCAUGCCUCUGGCAUAGGUAGUUCCUUCGAAGCCAAACGUUAGGUUGGGUCUUCUUUUAUGAAACCUCCUAAAAAGCGCGGAUGGAAAAAGUUUGUUCGAGCAUCAAGUACAACUUGAAGAACAUUUGAUGAAAAACCUUUUAACGUGGGGAAAAGGCCAUAAAGAUCACUAAGUACUUGAUGGGACUUAAUGAUUGUGAAAGUUUCAUUGAAAAAGCUCAAAGAGCAUCGGCAUCAACAGUUGCAGUUGCCCAAUAGGAGGCUAGCCAUGUCAUCAAGGAAUGAACCCCAAACACAAGAGUGAAAGAGGGAAGAAGGUAGGUUGGAAGAGAGCAACAGAAAUUAGGAAAGCGCAGGUCAGGGACAAUACAUCAACGAAGCUCUCAAAUUACCUUUGCCUAUUCUCUUUUUAGGAUGCAUAAUUUUUUGGACUAUCUACUGGAAAUUUGAAAAUCCAUGAUCAAGAUACAGUUACAACGAGUAAGCGAAGGAAUUAUAAUGUUUCUGACACUUGUACCCUUUUUUAACUUAAGGGAAGUCAUAGAUAUUUUUUAAGAUUGAUGAUCUUACUAGCAUAAUGUGUUAUUUUGCUUAUUGAUAUUAAGUUUUUAUUUUUUUGGAAUAAUAUUGACAUCAUAAUUUGUAUUGCUAGUUCAGCUAUUGUGAUGAUAUAUCUCAACUUGUCAUGUUUAAUUUUUAAGUUAUUGAUACACGUAGUAUUAUAUGCUUUAGUAUUACACACAUUUUGCUUGCAUAGUUUAUAUAACUUAGUUAUGUGCUUCGUUGUUAGUUUCCUCUUACUUUUACACAUGGUAUUAUUAAUUUCAUGUGUUUCAGAAAACAUGUAUUACAAGCUAAUGAGUUAAGUUUGAG